GUACACACCGCCCGUCGCUACUACCGAUUGAAUGGUUUAGUGAGAUCUUCGGCUUGGUUUUCCGAGCGGCUUUCGGGUCGUUCGGUWUACAUAUCGAWRAGAUGCUCAAACUGGAUCAUUUAGAGGAAGUAAAAGUCGUAACAAGGUAUUCGUAGGUGAACCUGCAGAAGGAUCA
rnacentral:rRNA from 1 species